GAAAGGAAAGAGAAAGAGAGAGAGAGAGAGAUGAGGCUCCAGUGCAGAAACAUCUCUUUUGACUUCGAUGAGUCAGCUUCAUCACUUCCAUUAUUAUUGCCCAAGCAAGCUGGCAGCUGGCAGAACAAACCUGUCUGAUCCAGUGUGAUUUGGGAGGCCGUGGCAGCAGCAGCAGCAGUGGAUGUGUCCAUGUAGCUGUGUUUACGCUGGCCCGGACACACAGAGAAAAUGACAGCCUGCCAUAUGGACCACCUGCAGUGGUCUCACGCAGCAAGUCAACCUGGUCACUUUAUAAAUCUGUUCCAUCCAGACUGGUCCAGCCGGCCCGCUGGGAUCCCUCCCCGUCCUUCUGAUUAGCCAGUCGGCGCCGCAUGAGGAGCCUCGCGGUGUCCAUCAGGCUGAUCAACCUCAACGCUCGUCUUCGCUCGGAUUACAGCGCCGCGCCGGUGGGCCGCGUCCAAUCACAGCCUCUCGAUGUGUAAAUAAAAGUGAGACACUUUUUUUUUUGCUGGUAAAUAGGACGCACUGAGAUAUGAAGUGAACACAAUGCAAUGCAUCUAUUUAUUGCCUCUACUCAGCAGUUUGUUUGGGCUAAUUGGCACGGAUGAUUAAUUAUUAUAUAACCCAUGACAGGCCAUGGAAAAUUGGAAUUAAAUGACUGGCUGACAUUGCAUGUCCCAGUUCAGUUGUGUAAUAAGCUAAGAAGGAUUCAUUUGCCUACUGUGGUACAUUGCCUCUAUAUUCGUCUUCCCACUGCACUCAUUCAGCGCUCAGCAACACGACUGGGAAGUGAACUACAUAUGUUUGGAGGUAAACACUGAGGUAUGUCUAACAGUUAAAGGGACUCGAGGUGUCAGGAUGCACACAAAGAUGCCAAAUAUCCGAGAGACUGUCAGUAAACCAUCUGUCAGAGAAAACGGCAAGCCUCUCAGCAGCUGUUCUGAGCUGGAAAGUCCCUGUUUCAGACAAUCACUGACCGGCAAAUGUUAAUGUAGGACGGUGACUGUUUCUUUUUUUUUUUAAAACAUUUCAUUAUAUUUUUCACAGUUAUUUAACAAAAAGUUAAAGCAUUUGAAGAUGAAAUGUGGCAGCAUAUGGUAGAAGUAAAUAUGCUAUGGAAUUACUGAAUGUAGAUUUUAAUUUAAUUAAC